CUACGGGGCGCAGCAGUGGGGAAUAUUGCACAAUGGGCGCAAGCCUGAUGCGGCCAUGCCGCGUGUAUGAAGAAGGCCUUCGGGUUGUAAAGUACUUUCAGCGGGGAGGAAGGGAGUAAAGUUAAUACCUUUGCUCAUUGACGUUACCCGCAGAAGAAGCACCGGCUAACUCCGUGCCAGCAGCCGCGGUAAUACGGAGGGUGCAAGCGUUAAUCGGAAUUACUGGGCGUAAAGCGCACGCAGGCGGUUUGUUAAGUCAGAUGUGAAAUCCCCGGGCUCAACCUGGGAACUGCAUCUGAUCCUGGCAAGCUUGAGUCUCGUAGAGGGGGGUAGAAUUCCAGGUGUAGCGGUGAAAUGCGUAGAGAUCUGGAGGAAUACCGGUGGCGAAGGCGGCCCCCUGGACGAAGACUGACGCUCAGGUGCGAAAGCGUGGGGAGCAAACAGGAUUAGAUACCCGCGUAGUC
rnacentral:rRNA from 1 species